CUAUGGGAUCACUGUCCUGCUGCUGAUGAUCGAUCCUAACCGAAAAGAUCGCGCGCCGCGGACGGCGCGUCAUCCGCGAAUAUGCCCGCAUGCGGCAAUACGCACUCUGGCGAUAGGCGCGGAGACCGUCGGGUGGCCUCUGUCCCACUACGGUGAACGAUCACUGCUUACUGCGCC
rnacentral:sRNA from 1 species